ACAUUCUUAUUCCCCUCUUAAAUGAGAUUGUGUAUAUGCUGGGUCUAGUAUGAUCUUGUCGCCCAUUGAUUUUUCAAUAUCUAUUCAUUUCCUUCCAUUGUCUUGAUUGUCACUUAUUCAAUGCAUGCUUCUGUAAAACAAUUAAACAAGUAGGCAUGUAUGCAACGGAUCAGUGGAGGAAUUAGGUUACUAUAACCAGAAGUUGUUUUGAUUGGUCCAUGAUUUUGACCACUACAAUAAUUCUUGUAGCACCAACAUACAGCAGAUGAAACCAAAGAGUACUUGCACAGCUGAGCUCAGCAAGUCAUACAGGAAUUCCCGGACUGCGCAGAGUGUGCUUCAACCAACGUUUUCAGAUGAGUUAUCCAUGUGCUUUCUUUUGAAAGUGCUUCUUUAUUGCCUAGUUCUCCUGGUCUUCGGAAGACUGCGAGCGAUCUGAAUGCAACACUCGGAGCACUCAAAUGUGAGCAGAAAUACAGCUUUUCAUGUAAACUAAGUGAAGAAGGGUCUUGCUUUGUUGCCCAGCCUAGCGUGCAGUGGUGUGACUCUAGCUCACUACAGCCUCUGACCUCCCAGGCAUAAGUGAUCCUCCUGCCUCAGCCUCCCACCAUCAGGACUGCAGGGAUGCGCCACUACAAUCAGUGAAUAUUUUUAAAAUUUAUUUUUGUGCAGAGACCGGGCCUUACUAUGUUGCCCAGGCUGGUUUUAAACUAAUGGGCUCAAGCUAUCCUCCUGCCUUGGCUUCCCAAAGUGCUGGAACUGCAGGCAAGAGCCACCAUGCCCAGCUUCUUCUCUCUUUUAACUUUAUUUGUACAUUGCCUUAAUCUUUCAGAACAAUGUUUAACAAUGAACAUAAUAAUGGCUAUUUUAUGUAAUUUUUAAAUUAAAUUUUAAUUAAAAUUAUAAUUUUUAAAAAACAAUUACAAAUUAAAAUGCAACAGAUUGGUAGUUUUCAAGUAUAAUCUGUGAGAAUUUUGAGGAAAUUAGCAUCUUGUAAACAUAUCUAUGACCUCAUCAUGCUCCUAGUUCCCUGAUGGAGACACAUAACUAUGAUAGUAAACAGCCAGCGGAUUCAAGAAAAAGCAUCGGUUGCCAGUGAAUCUUGGAUGAACGGUACCCAUGCUGCAGGCAAUGAGUUCAGAAGAGCCUGGGAUAGAUCCUGUGGAAAACAUUUUUACUGAACAUUAUUCACACUGCAGUCUACAAAGAAGAAGGCUUGUCUGUCUGAGCUGUGGGGUCUGGUGGGCACAAGAAAAAAAGUCACUCACCACUCAAGAGAACCCAAUAGCUUGUAUGAACACUAAAGUAAACCAUCAAAAUCACACCAAGUCUAUUUCACACACACUGACAUGGCUACUAUAAAACAAAAUAACAAGUGUUGGUGAAGAGGCAAAGAAAUAGGAAUUCUUGUGCACGUUGGUAAGAAUGUAGAAUGGUACAGUCACUGUAGAAAACAGUAUGGAGGUUCUAUAGGAAACUAAAAAUGGAAUUACUAUGUGAUCCAUCAAUUACGUUUCUGGGUAAGUAAUUGAAGGCAGAGACUUGAAGAGAUAUAGUUGUAAGCCCAUGUUAAUAACAACAUUAUUUGCAAUAGCAAAAUAUGGAAGCAAUCUACAUGUGUAUCCAUGAAUGAAUGGAUAUGUGGUACAUAUAAUCCAUUAUGUAAUGUGGUAUAUACAUAAAAUGGAAUAUUAUUCAGCCUUAAAAAGCCAAUUCUGACACAUGUUACAACAUGUGUGUACUUUGAGGACAUUUUUAUAUUUGAGGACAUAUUUAUAUUUCUAUUGUGCAGAGUAGGGUAGUGACGAAAAGACAAAUACUCCAUGAUUCCACUUAUAUAAGACACCUAGAGUAAAAAAAGAAACACAGAGACAGAAAGUGAAAUGGUGGUUUUUAAGGGUUGGGGGAGGGAAGAAAGAAGAGUUAGAGUGUAAUGGGUACAGAAUUUCAGUUUUGCAAGAUGAAAAGAGCUCUUAAAUAGACUUUACCACAAUUUAAAAUAAAAAAAUCUAAAACUCACGGCAGGGACUUCUACCAAGGCAUAUUUAAUAGCAGAGAAAGACACGUUCUCAAAAAGAAACUACCAAAAAUUGUAAGGAAGGACUUGGAAUGGGGCAAUUUGAGGAUGUAAAGAACUGGGUCUAUUAAGACAAAAUUAUUUCAGAAAAAAAGCUUAAAUGAAUAAUAGAAUUGAGAUUUCUAGAAGCCAAAUAUGUGAUCUGAAAUAAGUGAGGUUAUCUCAAAAUACAGCAUGUAUUACUGUAUCGAUGGGCCUCUAGGCUCUGAAGGUAGACUGCCAGGUCUAAAAUUAAGCUCAGCCCUUAUCAGCAGCUAGCAUUAGUAUAUAACAUUAGUUGUUGAUGUUAUAUUCAAAUAAAAUUUAUUAUUAACACUAGUAAGCAAAAUGCAAAAAAUGAAUAUUGUGAGUGAAAAGACAAGCAAUGUGAAUGGAUUCAGGAAAUCUAGAUCCAAAGGUGAGUUCCAGAGAGAAACAGAUUGAGGAGAAACAAUAACAAAAAAUAAUAAUAAUAAUAAAAGACAAUUUCUGGGCUGAAGAACAAUUCAAAAUGUUAAGAUUGAAACACGUCCUGGUGACAUUUCUAAACUCCAAGUUUAAGAGAAAAUGUCACAAGCUUCCAGAAAUUGGAAGUUAUUUACUUACAAAGAAAGAAAAUCAUAUCAGUGUCAGGGCCCUCGCAACUGAAACAUUAAAUAUACAAAGCAGUGGAACAAACAAACAAAAACAAAGAAAACAUAAAUAAAUAAAAAGAAGAAACAAAAUAAAACGAAGAACAAAGAGACAAAACAGGUGAUCUUAGGACCAAUACCCAAGCCAUCAUAUCAUUUAUCUGUUAACUACAAAGAUUUAAGCUCUGUAUUGUGGCCUUGUCCUUUUGGAGUGUUUGUCAUUUUCUUCUGCUACAGAAUCCUGUCUACAAAAAAAUCACACUCGUUUUGCUAAUAUUUGUUGCACUUUCAGUGUUUGAAGAAUCAUUAUAUUCCCCCUCAAAUACUCCUCCUAAAUGUAAUUGUCAUAAUAUUCUAGAAAACCCAAAAGUAUAGAGAUGAUAAAGCUAUCAGUGACUGUCAGUGGUCCAGGAGUAUGGGAAGAUAACUGAAUAGGUGAGCAACAGGGGAUUUCUUUAGAGCAGUGACACUUUUCUGUAUAAUACUGUAAUGCUAAGCUCAAGAUACUAAGCAUUUGUCAAAACUCAUACAACUUAACAGCAUGUUAUGCCAUUAAAAGUAAGCCAUUUAAAAAGAUCAUUUAGGAGUUUUGAAGUAUGCCAGGAAGAAAUGCAGAAUCUGACCAAUCAAUGCAAAUGUAUUACAAAUGUAUGAAAAAACCUCAUAGACGGAUGAGUGGAAAUAAGAUAUUGACCUAGGAAAAUGGGGAAAUGAGAUGGAGUCUGUAAAACUAAAGGGAAAAGGAACUGCACGUAAGCACUGUACUCUGGUUACUAAAGCUGUUUUCUACAGGGGUAUAGGUCUACAAUUCUGAAAGCACUAUCCAUGUCUACAAAAAUUAAAUGACUAAUUAAAUGGUUAGGGGAUGGAACCAUUUUAAUGGAAUGUUAUAUAGAAACCAGGUUUCUCACUGUUGGAGUGAAAGAUUACAGUUAAGCUAAUGGAGAAGACUGGAAUGAUCCCUGUGGUAAUAGACUGUAGUUGGAAAUAAUAUAAAAUUGUAUUUAGAUCAAUUUAGAUACAGAUGAUUGCAUAUACAAAUAUUUAUAGAUAUGUGUAUAUUCACGGAUCUCUACAUAGACUCAGGUCUCUUAGCUCUGUCAGCUGAGAAGCCCAGCAAGCAACACAGUGCUCAGUUGUCGCUUCUAGUAUUAUUCUCCAACAAAAGCACCAGUGGUCUUUGGAGAAAUGGCUGAUUCUAGGACUUGGUCUUGCAAUCUACAAGAGCCUGGGACAUCUUGUAGGGCUGAAGUCAGAAAGUGGUUAAAUAAAUAAAUUCCCACAAUAACGGGGAUACAUCAGGUGAUACAGGUGCUGAGAGCUGUGCCCAAAGCUGGAACAACUUGAGCAACAAAACAAAUAGAGUACUAUUGAAUUAUAACCCACAUUACAAGAUAAAUAUGAAUGAGCCCAUACUAAUAUAAAUAAAUGGUUGAAUAAAGAAAUAAAUGGGAGAAUAGAUAAAUAUCCCAUGCUAAAGAAUUCUAAAUGAUUUACAUAGAUACUCCACCCUUACGGAGGUGGACCAUGAUUUCUCACUCCUUGAGCGUGGGCUGCACACAGUGGAUUUCUUCUGAAAAGCACAGUAAGGAAAUAAGGGACAGCAACUUUCCAGGGAUAUGGGAAGGAACUUGACAACUUUAUCAAGUCUGGUGAUUAAAGUUACUAUCAACCAUGACCUUGCAUUUUGAUACUACGGACUCUUGACAUGAUGUGAUAACAAUGGGACUUCUGUGGUCUUAUUCUCCAACAUAUUACCCCAAUCUAUUCAUUUUAAAAAAAGCAUCAGAUUAAAUACCAAUUAAUGGGCAUUCUAAAAAAUACCUGAUCAGUAUGCCUUAAAACUCUCAUGAUCACCAAAAACAGGAAAAGACUGGGAAACUGUCACAACCAGCAGGAGGCUAGGAAGGCCUGAGUACUACAACAGAAAAUGACAUUAGUCUAAAACCAAGGAAAUCUGGAUAAGGUAUGGACUCAGUUACUAACAGCGGACAAUAUUGGUUCAUCAAUUGUGACAAAUGUACUAUUCUAAUGUAAGAUGUUAAUAACAGGGGAAAAUGAGUGUGAGGUAUACAGGAACUCCCUGUACUAUCUUUGCAAUAAUUACCUCAAUCUGAAACUGUUCUAAAAUAAGGCAGUUAAUUAAAUAAAUUUGUAAAAGCUGCAAAGCUGCUCUCUCUAU
rnacentral:lncRNA from 1 species